AUAACUUCUAGACUGUUGGUCUACCGAGCAAUAUCACCCGCUCGGUUAAAGAUCUUCCUUUCGUCGU
rnacentral:pre_miRNA from 1 species